rnacentral:rRNA from 1 species
GACAGAGGUGCCAAGCGUUAGGCGGAAUCACUGGGCUUAAAGCGUGUGUAGGCGGAAUGGUAAGUACCUUGUGAAAUCCCACGGCUCAACCGUGGAACUGCUGGGUAUACUGCUUUUCUUGAGCCACUUAGGGGCUGUCGGAACAAACGGUGGAGCGGUGAAAUGCGUAGAUAUCAUUUGGAACGCCAAUGGUGAAAACAGGUAGCUGGGGCUGUGCUGACACUGAGACACGAAAGCCAGGGGAGCAAACGGG